rnacentral:tRNA from 1 species
UUAGCUCAGCUGGGAGAGCAUCUGCCUUACAAGCAGAGGGUCACAGGUUCGAGCCCUGUA